GACGAGUCACUACGGUGAUGAAGUAGCUCAUGCCCCGCUUCCAGGAAAAGCCUCUAAGCUCUAGAUUAUCAUUAAUCGUACCCCAAACCGACACAGGUGGUCAGGUAGAGAAUACUCAGGCGCUUGAGAGAACUCGGGUGAAGGAACUAGGCAAAAUGGUGCCGUAACUUCGGGAGAAGGCACGCUGGCAUUAGGUGAAGUGAUUUACUCAUGGAGCUGAAGCCAGUCGCAGAUACCAGCUGGCUGCAACUGUUUAUUAAAAACACAGCACUGUGCAAACACGAAAGUGGACGUAUACGGUGUGACGCCUGCCCGGUGCUGGAAGGUUAAUUGAUGGGGUUAUCCGUAAGGAGAAGCUCUUGAUCGAAGCCCCAGUAAACGGCGGCCGUAACUAUAACGGUCCUAAGGUAGCGAAAUUCCUUGUCGGGUAAGUUCCGACCUGCACGAAUGGCGUAAUGAUGGCCAGGCUGUCUCCACCCGAGACUCAGUGAAAUUGAACUCGCUGUGAAGAUGCAGUGUACCCGCGGCAAGACGGAAAGACCCCGUGAACCUUUACUAUAGCUUGACACUGAACAUUGAGCCUUGAUGUGUAGGAUAGGUGGGAGGCUU
rnacentral:rRNA from 2 species